UAGGACUACUGGGGUUUCUAAUCCCGUUCGCUACCCUAGCUUUCGAGCCUCAGCGUCAGUUACAGUCCAGAAAGCCGCCUUCGCCACUGGUGUUCUUCCCAAUAUCUACGCAUUUCACCGCUACACUGGGAAUUCCGCUUUCCUCUCCUGCACUCAAGAAAACCAGUUCGGACCCCAUCACGGGGUUGAGCCCCGCACUUUUAAGAUCCGCUUAGUUUCCCGCCUGCGCUCCCUUUACGCCCAAUAAUUCCGGACAACGCUUGCCGCCUACGUAUUACCGCGGCUGCUGGCACGUAGUUAGCCGUGGCUUCCUCGUUAGGUACCGUCAAAUAAAAACCGUAUUAUGAUUCUUACCCUUCGUCCCUAACAACAGAACUUUACGAUCCUAAGACCUUCAUCG
rnacentral:misc_RNA from 1 species